rnacentral:rRNA from 1 species
UACAGAGGUCUCAAGCGUUGUUCGGAUUCAUUGGGCGUAAAGGGUGCGUAGGUGGCGCCGUAAGUCGGGUGUGAAAUUUCGGAGCUUAACUCCGAAACUGCAUUCGAUACUGCCGUGCUUGAGGACUGGAGGGGAGACUGGAAUUUACGGUGUAGCGGUGAAAUGCGUAGAUAUCACUUGGAACGCCAAUGGUGAAGACAGCUCGCUGGGGGUGUCCUGACGCUGAGGCGCGAAAGCCAGGGGAGCGAACGGG